GGGUUGUGAGGUUAAGCGACUAAGCGUACACGGUGGAUGCCCUGGCAGUCAGAGGCGAUGAAGGACGUGCUAAUCUGCGAUAAGCGCCGGUAAGGUGAUAUGAACCGUUAUAACCGGCGAUUUCCGAAUGGGGAAACCCAGUGUGAUUCGUCACACUAUCAUUAACUGAAUCCAUAGGUUAAUGAGGCGAACCGGGGGAACUGAAACAUCUAAGUACCCCGAGGAAAAGAAAUCAACCGAGAUUCCCCCAGUAGCGGCGAGCGAACGGGGAGGAGCCCAGAGCCUGAAUCAGCAUGUGUGUUAGUGGAAGCGUCUGGAAAGGCGCGCGAUACAGGGUGACAGCCCCGUACACAAAAAUGCACAUGCUGUGAGCUCGAUGAGUAGGGCGGGACACGUGGUAUCCUGUCUGAAUAUGGGGGGACCAUCCUCCAAGGCUAAAUACUCCUGACUGACCGAUAGUGAACCAGUACCGUGAGGGAAAGGCGAAAAGAACCCCGGCGAGGGGAGUGAAAAAGAACCUGAAACCGUGUACGUACAAGCAGUGGGAGCACCCUUUGGGGUGUGACUGCGUACCUUUUGUAUAAUGGGUCAGCGACUUAUAUUCUGUAGCAAGGUUAACCGUAUAGGGGAGCCGGAGGGAAACCGAGUCUUAACCGGGCGUUAAGUUGCAGGGUAUAGACCCGAAACCCGGUGAUCUAGCCAUGGGCAGGUUGAAGGUUGGGUAACACUAACUGGAGGACCGAACCGACUAAUGUUGAAAAAUUAGCGGAUGACCUGUGGCUGGGGGUGAAAGGCCAAUCAAACCGGGAGAUAGCUGGUUCUCCCCGAAAGCUAUUUAGGUAGC
rnacentral:rRNA from 1 species